UGGUUAUUUUUUUUGUCAACAUUUUAUUUUUGGAAAGCCCAAGGACGAAUACAGAAAAUGCUUGAAAGCCCACUAAAAGCCCAAUACAAUAACAAAAUCAACAAAAAAAUAAAAAUGAUACACGUUAAAAAAACAUGUUGUUAAAAAGAAAAACAAGGGCACAUGGCAACACGGGAGAGGACAAGCUGCAUCACCAUCGAAAACUCUAUCGAUGGCCCGGCGGUUUUCUCACCACCAAUCACCAACAAAUCUCUGGCACCAUCUGAAGGCUCUUUUGCUUCUUUUUACUUACUCUUCCAUUUUAGAUCUCGUAAGUAUCAUCGAUCAGAAUUUUAAUACUUCAAAUAGCAUUACCGCCAUUCAUCUAAUUUCACUCAAAGACUUCACCCUUUGCCUAGACAAGGCUCUAAAUAGGGAUUUGGGGAGAACUCCUAAAAAUUCCAACACUUACCACCGGAACUCAUCACCACCGUCUUAUCUAAUAGAAAUCCAAUUGUGGAGGAAAAAGGCCACACAUCCGAACAAAUCAAAAAACUUUUGCACUACUUUAAAGGAACCAUGAUUAUCAAACAUAAUCAAAUUCUUCACUCUAAUAAGGAUUAGUGAAGAAUUUAAUUAGAAGGAAUCAAAACAAAAAGAUCACAAAAGAAUUUCGAUUGAUGGAGAACAAAAGAUCUGAACAAAUCAAAAUUUAUUGUCCGUUAGCUCUCUCUCUGUGAAAGAUCUUUCUCUGAAAGAUAAAGAUGAGAGAAGAGAGAGAGGAAAAAAAGUCAGCAAUCAGUAACGUAAGCG
rnacentral:lncRNA from 1 species